UACAGAGGUGGCAAGCGUUGUUCGGAAUUACUGGGCGUAAAGGGCGCGUAGGCGGUCUUGCAAGUCCCGUGUGAAAUCCCUCGGCUCAACUGAGGAACUGCACGGGAAACUGUUUGGCUUGAGUUCGGGAGAGGGAAGCGGAAUUCCGGGUGUAGCGGUGAAAUGCGUAGAUAUCCGGAGGAACACCGGUGGCGAAGGCGGCUUCCUGGACCGACACUGACGCUGAGGCGCGAAAGCUAGGGGAGCAAACAGG
rnacentral:rRNA from 1 species